ensembl:lncRNA
AGCCUGGUACGCUACAUAUACCCUACAUAACACUGUUGGAACUGGUCCUACUACCACGGUCUAGAGAAGGCCCUGAAGCCUGGUACGCUACAUAUACCCUACAUAACACUGUUAUAUCUGGUCCUACUACCACGGUCUGGAGAAGGCCCUGAAGCCCGGUACGCUACAUAUACCCUAUAUGAGAGGUUCUCAUAAUUGUUGUGUUCUGGGUUCCCCUGUAAUCAGAAUACAGUGAGAUGAAAAAUAGCGUACGAGGAAUUCUACUAUGACAUCAGCAGUGCAUGUUCGGAUGAACCGAGUCUCGGCCCUGGGAAGGACCAUUUUUAAAGACUCAUCUCUUGAAAUUGGAGCGAGCAUUUAGCAGUUUUCAUGCAAAUUUCCUGCAAUUCUACACAUUUUGCCAUUAGGGUAGAGAGAACUUAGCCGUUUUAAAGCUUACAUCUCAGUAAAUACAGUAUAUCACAAAAGUGAGUACACCCCUCACAUUUUUGUAAAUAUUUGAGUAUAUCUUUUCAUGUGACAACACUGAAGAAAUGACACUUUGCUACAAUGUAAAGUAGUGAGUGUACAGCUUGUAUAACAUAGUAAAUUUUCUGUCCCCAGAGUAGCAGGUAGGGGAGAGACACUCUGACUCUGUACCACACAGAGUAGCAGGUAGGAGAGACACUCUGACUCUGUACCACACAGAGUAGCAGGUAGGAGAGACACUCUGGCUCUGUACCACACAGAGUAGCAGGUAGGGGGGGAGACACUCUGACUCUGUACCACACAGAGUAGCAGGUAGGGGGGGAGACACUCUGUUGCCAAAUGUUGCAGAUAAAAACAACAAGAUUCGUUGUUCUGCAUGUUUGUUCUACGUAACAUAUUUCUAUCUGAAUGUUCCAAAACGUUUUGUGUCCUGCUGAACUCGCCCCAGGCCUCACUCUUCCUCCUUCCUCUCUCUCUUCUUCCUCUCUCUCUUCUUGCUCUCUCUUCUUCCUCUCUCUCUUCUUCCCCUCUCUUCUUCCUCUCUCUCUUCUUCCUCUCUCUCUUCUUCCUCUCUCUCUUCUUCCUCUCUCUCUUCUUCCUCUCUCUCUUCUUCCAUCUCUCUUCUUUCUCUCUCUCUUCUUCCUCUCU